GCUUCUCUGAGCAGCAUUCCUUCCCUCUGGGUAUGGGGCAGGAACCUUUCCAGAAUGGGAGUCUUAUAACCUAUCAUCAAACAAGGUAGGUCAGAGAAUUUCUUUCUGGCCAUUUUUACAUGGAUAGGGCUAAGGGAAGGUUAGAUUAAUAUUGUUAGUUUUAUAGCUGUCUUUGGAGAAAAGGAGUUCAGGUUUCUAUGACCUGCCUUGGAGAAGAGUGUUUCUCAUUUCUAUGGCUAGCCUUGGGGAAGAAUGGGAUGGAGAGAAAGGAGGGCAGGAAGAGGUCAGAGAAAAACCUUUUGCUUCUGAAGGUAUUGCAGAGGCCUUCAUUUUGGGAUAUUGUUUUCUGAGCCCCAACACUCUGAAUGGUAGACCUAAGAAGGACAAAAACAAGUUCUAGGUCAGAAAAUACGUCCUUGCUAUUGUAUUUGUUGGAAUCCAAAAUAUGCCUCUCCAAAAUAUACUUUUUUGGUAUAUUUCAAGUUGUUUAUUCAGAGAAGCUGAAUAGAUUUGAAAAGCUAUUGCUUUGUUAAAAGAAAAAAUGUAUGUUUAUCUACAUUAGUAAAGCAAACAGGAGAUACAAACAGAGGCUUUCUCUGAGGUCACCUUAUCCAGAUCUAGGAAAGAUGAACUCACAGAAAAAGGAGACUUAAGUCUGACAUUUUGAAGUUCUGACAGAGAAACUGUUAACCACAAGCUGCCUUCUAUUCACUCUGAGGACUGCUACCUGUGAGACUUCAUCUGCAUAACAAGACAGCCUUUGCUCUCCAUGUGUUUCCUCCCCCCACCCUCCCACAACCCAUCCCCAGGCUCCCCAGGAGCCCUAAGUCCUUAUUCUACUCUGUAUGGUAUACAACUUAGUCAUCUGGCCCUUCUUUGAGUCUCAUAUUUUGUGUAGUUACUCUACACAUGCAUAUGUAAUAAACUUGUAUACCUUUUCUCCUGUUA
rnacentral:lncRNA from 1 species